GACGAACGCUGGCGGCGUGCUUAACACAUGCCAGUCGAACGGAAAGGCCCUGCUUUUGUGGGGUGCUCGAGUGGCGAACGGGUGAGUAACACGUGAGUAACCUGCCCUUGACUUUGGGAUAACUUCAGGAAACUGGGGCUAAUACCGGAUAGGAGCUCCUGCUGCAUGGUGGGGGUUGGAAAGUUUCGGCGGUUGGGGAUGGACUCGCGGCUUAUCAGCUUGUUGGUGGGGUAGUGGCUUACCAAGGCUUUGACGGGUAGCCGGGCUGAGAGGGUGACCGGCCACAUUGGGACUGAGAUACUGCCCAGACUCCUACGGGAGGCAGCAGUGGGGAGGAUUGCACAAUGGGCGGAAGCCUGAUGCAGCAACGCCGCGUGCGGGAUGACGGCCUGCGGGUUGUAAACCGCUUUCGCCUGUGACGAAGCGUGAGUGACGGUAAUGGGUAAAGAAGCACCGGCUAACUACGUG
rnacentral:rRNA from 1 species